rnacentral:rRNA from 1 species
UACGUAGGGGGCUAGCGUUGUCCGGAAUCAUUGGGCGUAAAGGGCGCGUAGGCGGUCAGCACAAGUCAGUUGUGAAAUCUCCGGGCUUAACUCGGAAAGGUCAACUGAUACUGUGCGACUAGAGUGCGGAAGGGGCAACUGGAAUUCUCGGUGUAGCGGUGAAAUGCGUAGAUAUCGAGAGGAACACCUGCGGCGAAGGCGGGUUGCUGGGCCGACACUGACGCUGAUGCGCGAAAGCCAGGGGAGCGAACGGG